GACGAACGCUGGCGGCGUGCCUAAUACAUGCAAGUAGAACGCUGAAGGAGGAGCUUGCUUCUCCGGAUGAGUUGCGAACGGGUGAGUAACACGUAGGUAACCUGCCUGGUAGCGGGGGAUAACUAUUGGAAACGAUAGCUAAUACCGCAUAAGAGUAGAUGUCGCAUGACAUUUGCUUAAAAGGUGCAACUGCACCACUACCAGAUGGACCUGCGUUGUAUUAGCUAGUUGGUGAGGUAACGGCUCACCAAGGCAACGAUACAUAGCCGACCUGAGAGGGUGAUCGGCCACACUGGGACUGAGACACGGCCCAGACUCCUACGGGAGGCAGCAGUAGGGAAUCUUCGGCAAUGGACGGAAGUCUGACCGAGCAACGCCGCGUGAGUGAAGAAGGUUUUCGGAUCGUAAAGCUCUGUUGUAAGAGAAGAACGAGUGUGAGAGUGGAAAGUUCACACUGUGACGGUAUCUUACCAGAAAGGGACGGCUAACUACGUG
rnacentral:rRNA from 1 species